rnacentral:rRNA from 1 species
GACGAGCGGCGGACGGGUGAGUAAUGUCUGGGAAACUGCCUGAUGGAGGGGGAUAACUACUGGAAACGGUAGCUAAUACCGCAUAACGUCGCAAGACCAAAGAGGGGGACCUUCGGGCCUCUUGCCAUCAGAUGUGCCCAGAUGGGAUUAGCUAGUAGGUGGGGUAAUGGCUCACCUAGGCGACGAUCCCUAGCUGGUCUGAGAGGAUGACCAGCCACACUGGAACUGAGACACGGUCCAGACUCCUACGGGAGGCAGCAGUGGGGAAUAUUGCACAAUGGGCGCAAGCCUGAUGCAGCCAUGCCGCGUGUAUGAAGAACGCCUUCGGGUUGUAAAGUACUUUCAGCGAGGAGGAAGGCAUUGUGGUUAAUAACCACAGUGAUUGACGUUACUCGCAGAAGAAGCACCGGCUAACUCCGUGCCAGCAGCCGCGGUAAUACGGAGGGUGCAAGCGUUAAUCGGAAUUACUGGGCGUAAAGCGCACGCAGGCGGUCUGUCAAGUCGGAUGUGAAAUCCCC